rnacentral:siRNA from 1 species
AGACUCAUUGGUUCCGAGUGGAG